CUGCGGAAGGAUCAUUACAGAGUUCAUGCCCGAAAGGGUAGACCUCCCACCCUUGUGUAUUAUUACUUUGUUGCUUUGGCGAGCUGCCUUCGGGCCUUGUAUGCUCGCCAGAGAAUACCAAAACUCUUUUUAUUAAUGUCGUCUGAGUACUAUAUAAUAGUUAAAACUUUCAACAACGGAUCUCUUGGUUCUGGCAUCGAUGAAGAACGCAGCGAAAUGCGAUAAGUAAUGUGAAUUGCAGAAUUCAGUGAAUCAUCGAAUCUUUGAACGCACAUUGCGCCCCUUGGUAUUCCGGGGGGCAUGCCUGUUCGAGCGUCAUUUCAACCCUCAAGCUUAGCUUGGUAUUGAGUCUAUGUCAGUAAUGGCAGGCUCUAAAAUCAGUGGCGGCGCCGCUGGGUCCUGAACGUAGUAAUAUCUCUCGUUACAGGUUCUCGGUGUGCUUCUGCCAAAACCCAAAUUUUUCUAUGGUUGACCUCGGAUCAGGUAGGGAUACCCGCUGAACUUAAGCAUAUCAA
rnacentral:rRNA from 1 species